rnacentral:lncRNA from 1 species
CCAGGUAGCGCUUGUUUAACGUCACGAGCCUGCCCCAAACUUUUCUAGCACCCAUUAGUAGGUGCAAACCUUACCGUCACCCAUCAGUAGGUGUACCUUCCUGGUAUCCUUCAAUAGAUACCUACAUCUUCUUUAACGUCAUUAGCUUGACCCGGUAAAGCCCAAACACCCAUCAGUAGGUGUUGAUUUUUAACGUUGGCAUUCUUCCUUCCUUCAUGACACCAACAGUUUUCUUGUCACCAACUCUAAGGAUCCUCAA